rnacentral:tRNA from 1 species
GGGUGUGUAGCUCAAUUGGCAGAGCAGCGGUCUCCAAAGCCGCCGGUUGCACGUUCGAGUCGUGCCGCGCCCGCUUCCACACCGGCUAACCGCCGGCAAUUUGC